rnacentral:rRNA from 1 species
CUUGCUUCUUCUUGAGAGCGGCGGACGGGUGAGUAAUGCCUAGGAAUCUGCCUGGUAGUGGGGGAUAACGUCCGGAAACGGACGCUAAUACCGCAUACGUCCUACGGGAGAAAGCAGGGGACCUUCGGGCCUUGCGCUAUCAGAUGAGCCUAGGUCGGAUUAGCUAGUUGGUGGGGUAAUGGCUCACCAAGGCGACGAUCCGUAACUGGUCUGAGAGGAUGAUCAGUCACACUGGAACUGAGACACGGUCCAGACUCCUACGGGAGGCAGCAGUGGGGAAUAUUGGACAAUGGGCGAAAGCCUGAUCCAGCCAUGCCGCGUGUGUGAAGAAGGUCUUCGGAUUGUAAAGCACUUUAAGUUGGGAGGAAGGGCAGUAAAUUAAUACUUUGCUGUUUUGACGUUACCGACAGAAUAAGCACCGGCUAACUCUGUGCCAGCAGCCGCGGUAAUACAGAGGGUGCAAGCGUUAAUCGGGAAUUACUGGGCGUAAAGCGCGCGUAGGUGGUUCGUUAAGUUGGAUGUGAAAUCCCCGGGCUCAACCUGGGAACUGCAUUCAAAACUGACGAGCUAGA